UGGGCAUAUUAUUUGAAGAAAGUUUUAAACCAGAAUCAAACUUGAACCUGAAAUUUAUAAAUUUAAUAGAAAACAACACAGAAAACAAAAGGGGGAGUUUACCUUCUUAGGCCGACACUCUCAAUUCUGGCCCAGCUAACCGGAGUGCUCAGCCAAUCCCCAUGCUCACCGCCUCGUGGGCCCGAGAUGUCAGCAUUAUCCCUUCCGCUGUAACAAAUUGCGCACAGAAAACAUCACGAUCUCCUCCUGUCGGCUACAUCGGACUCCACCAAGACUAUCGAUCCGGGUGUAUAAAUAUGGGGCCAUGUUCCCCCUUACCCUUCAUUCAUAGACCUGAGACAAACUAGGGGGUGCGAGCGCCGCUUUGUCACCAUAGGAGAGAAAAGAGAGCCACCGCAAUUGGGGAGCGCCUACACCAUCCUUGUGUCUCGAAAAAUCGACCAGUGGUGUUUGCGGGUGCGUGCAGGGUGUGUUCGUGGCGUUGCCGUGGUCAGUGUACAUCUGUGGCGACGGGAAUUUCACGCCGGAAGACAGGAAAUUGCCACCGAGCCACAUCCCUCGUCGCCAGGGCUCUGUGUGGCUCGAUAGCCGGUAAGAGAUCCUACCCUAGGUUCGCCUCACCCUCUACUACAUUUAGUGGUUGUCUGUUGCCAAAAUAAGGCAUUUGGCGCCUGGUGCACCCCGCUUCGCCGAAGCGCU
rnacentral:lncRNA from 7 species